UACAGGGGGGGCAAGCGUUGUUCGGAAUUACUGGGCGUAAAGGGCUCGUAGGCGGCCAACUAAGUCACACGUGAAAUCCCCAGGCUUAACCUGGGAACUGCGUGUGAUACUGGAUGGCUUGAAUUCGGGAGAGGGAUGCAGAAUUCCAGGUGUAGCGGUGAAAUGCGUAGAUAUCAAGUGGAACACCAGUGGCGAAGGCGAAUCCCUGGAAAACACCUGACACUGAGGCACGAAAGCUAGGGGAGCAAACAGG
rnacentral:rRNA from 1 species